CGUAGGUAACCUGCCUGGUAGCGGGGGAUAACUAUUGGAAACGAUAGCUAAUACCGCAUAAGAGUAGAUGUUGCAUGACAUUUACUUAAAAGGUGCAAUUGCAUCACUACCAGAUGGACCUGCGUUGUAUUAGCUAGUUGGUGAGGUAACGGCUCACCAAGGCAACGAUACAUAGCCGACCUGAGAGGGUGAUCGGCCACACUGGGACUGAGACACGGCCCAG
rnacentral:rRNA from 1 species